GCGCCCACGGGUGCCCGCCGGCCAGCGAGUUUUCGCCCGCCGGCGUUUUGCG
rnacentral:sRNA from 1 species